rnacentral:rRNA from 1 species
UACGUAGGGGGCAAGCGUUGUCCGGAAUUAUUGGGCGUAAAGAGCGCGUAGGCGGUCCGAUAAGUCGACUGUGAAAGUCUAGGGCUCAACCCUGGAAAGCCGGUCGAUACUGUCGGACUAGAGUCCGGAAGAGGCAAGUGGAAUUCCCGGUGUAGCGGUGAAAUGCGCAGAUAUCGGGAAGAACACCCGUGGCGAAGGCGGCUCUCUGGGACGGUACUGACGCUGAGACGCGAAAGCGUGGGGAGCGAACAGG